AGAGUUUGAUCCUGGCUCAGGAUGAACGCUGGCGGUAUGCCUAACACAUGCAAGUCGAACGGGAAUCUUUCGGGAUUCUAGAGGCGGACGGGUGAGUAACGCGUGAGAACCUGCCUCAAGGAUGGGGACAACAGCGGGAAACUGCUGCUAAUACCCAAUAAGCCGCAAGGUCAAAGAUUUAUCACCUAGAGAGGGGCUCGCGUCCGAUUAGCUAGUUGGUGGGGUAAGAGCCUACCAAGGCAGCGAUCGGUAGCUGGUCUGAGAGGAUGAGCAGCCACACUGGGACUGAGACACGGCCCAGACUCCUAUGGGAGGCAGCAGUGGGGAAUUUUCCGCAAUGGGCGAAAGCCUGACGGAGCAAUACCGCGUGAGGGAGGAAGGCUCUUGGGUUGUAAACCUCUUUUCUGGGGGAAGAAGCAAGUGACGGUACCCCAGGAAUCAGCAUCGGCUAACUCCGUGCCAGCAGCCGGUAAUACGGAGGAUGCAAGCGUUAUCCGGAAUUAUUGGGCGUAAAGCGUCCGCAGGUGGUCCAUCAAGUCUGCGGUCAAAGACCGGAGCUCAACUCCGGGCAGGCAGUGGAAACUGGUGAACUAGAGUACGGUAGGGGUAGAGGGAAUUCCCAGUGUGGCGGUGAAAUGCGUAGAGAUUGGGAAGAACACCAGUGGCGAAGGCGCUCUACUGGGCCGUAACUGACACUCAGGGACGAAAGCUAGGGGAGCGAAAGGGAUUAGAUACCCCUGUAGUCCUAGCUGUAAACGAUGGAUACUAGGCGUUGCUUGUAUCGACCCGAGCAGUGCCGUAGCUAACGCGUUAAGUAUCCCGCCUGGGGAGUACGCACGCAAGUGUGAAACUCAAAGGAAUUGACGGGGGCCCGCACAAGCAGUGGAGUAUGUGGUUUAAUUCGAUGCAACGCGAAGAACCUUACCAGGGCUUGACAUGUCCGGAACCCCGAGGAAACUCGGGGGUGCCUUCGGGAGCCGGAACACAGGUGGUGCAUGGCUGUCGUCAGCUCGUGUCGUGAGAUGUUGGGUUAAGUCCCGCAACGAGCGCAACCCUCGUCCUUAGUUGCCAGCAUUUAGGAUGGGCACUCUAGGGAGACUGCCGGUGACAAACCGGAGGAAGGUGGGGAUGACGUCAAGUCAGCAUGCCCCUUACGUCCUGGGCGACACACGUACUACAAUGGUCGGGACAAAGGGCAGCAAACUCGCGAGAGUAAGCGAAUCUCAGCAAACCCGGCCUCAGUUCAGAUUGCAGGCUGCAACUCGCCUGCAUGAAGGAGGAAUCGCUAGUAAUCGCAGGUCAGCAUACUGCGGUGAAUUCGUUCCCGGGCCUUGUACACACCGCCCGUCACACCAUGGAAGCUGGCCACGCCCGAAGUCGUUACCCUGACCGUUCGCGGAGGGGGACGCCGAAGGCA
rnacentral:rRNA from 1 species